rnacentral:rRNA from 1 species
CGAAAAAUAACGAUACGGGACUCAUCCGAGGCCCCGUAAUCGGAAUGAGUACACUCUAAACCCUUUAACGAGGAUCAAUUGGAGGGCAAGUCUGGUGCCAGCAGCCGCGGUAAUUCCAGCUCCAAUAGCGUAUAUUAAAGUUGUUGCGGUUAAAAAGCUCGUAGUCGAAUUUGUGUCCCGCGCCGCCGGUUCAUCGCUCGCGGUGUUAACUGGCGUGUCCGCGGGACGUCCUGCCGGUGGGCUUAGCCCCCCCGGGGGCGGCCCAAUCUCAAUCCCACCGCGGUGCUCUUCACUGAGUGUCGAGGUGGGCCGGCACGUUUACUUUGAACAAAUUAGAGUGCUUAAAGCAGGCUAAAACAUCGCCUGAAUACUGUGUGCAUGGAAUAAUGGAAUAGGACCUCGGUUCUAUUUUGUUGGUUUUCGGAACCCCGAGGUAAUGAUUAAUAGGAACGGAUGGGGGCAUUCGUAUUGCGACGUUAGAGGUGAAAUUCUUGGAUCGUCGCAAGACGGACAGAAGCGAAAGCAUUUGCCAAAAACGCUUUCAUUGAUCAAGAACGAAAGUUAGAGGUUCGAAGGCGAUCAGAUACCGCCCUAGUUCUAACCAUAAACGAUGCCAGCUAGCGAUCCGCCGACGUUCCUCCGAUGACUCGGCGGGCAGCUUCCGGGAAACCAAAGCUUUUGGGUUCCGGGGGAAGUAUGGUUGCAAAGCUGAAACUUAAAGGAAUUGACGGAAGGGCACCACCAGGAGUGGAGCCUGCGGCUUAAUUUGACUCAACACGGGAAACCUCACCAGGCCCGGACACCGGAAGGAUUGACAGAUUGAGAG